AGGGUCGGAGGUGCGAGCUGUUCUGGUGGGAGAAGGGUUUUGGGUCGUGGGUGGGGGCGAACGGGCUUGCUAGCAGCGGGAUACGAUUCAGAUUCAGUCUGCGCAAAUCGAUCGUCCUGGCCGGACCGUCGUCCUAUGCUGGCAGUUGUGAUGAUCCAAUGACGGAGAAUGGUUGCUGUUCUGCGGGCAGCGGGCUUGCGGCCCCCGAACAUCGCAAGUGGAGACGGCUCCACGGGCUCCAGCCUCCCCUGCACCCCCAGCAGAUACUCGGAUGGACUCUGCUGAUAGUUUUCGGUGCCGCUUCUUUCCUUCUCAUCAUUCCUGCCCUUACCCCGUCCCUGUGGCCCCCCCUGUUCGCCGUUCUCGUCAGCCUUUUUAUCAUCCACUCCGUCUCUCACGUAACCGCCCUUCUGUUGGAUCCGGCCGACUCUGAACUUAGGAAAUUGAAAGCGACGUCCACCGCCGUCCCGGAAUUCGAUAGGAGUAAACACGCCCACGUGAUAGAAAACGGUAGGUGCCAUUUAUGUAACAUAAAGACUUCCGGCCCGAGGACUAAACAUUGUAGUGUGUGUAAUAAGUGCGUCGGUAGAUUCGAUCACCAUUGCAAAUGGUUGAAUCACUGCAUCGGCGGUCGGAAUUACGUCGCUUUUAUAGUCUGUGUCGUGUCUGCCGUCCUCGCUUGUAUCGUUAUCGUAUUGCUCUCGGCCGCGGUACUCGUCCUUUACCACACGGACAGAUCAUGGUUGGCCCUUUGGUACUUUUCACCCUUCGAUGGGACCGAGUACGAGCCACAAUCUGUAAAUAUGUUCGCUUUGAACGACAACGUCUUCCUUUUCCUGACUGCUAUCGUGGGGACGCUCGCGGCAAUCGCUGCCGGCCUUCUUAUGCACCUUUGUCUCUUCCACGCAUACAUCUCGUAUCUAGGCAUAACGACGUACGAGUAUAUUAGGAAUUAUAGACAGUUUGCGUCCAGUGGAAACAGAAACUCAUCCGUCGAUCCUGCUGCUACCGCAACUCCUUCUUCCGAUUCUAUAUUCACCAUUCACCGAGACUACCGGACUGGCGAAAGCGGAAACGGGCUGAAAAGCAAAUUGAACACUGCAUACUGCUCAAACAUGGGAGAUACGGGCUAUAAGAGGAAAACGACCACUCCCACCGAUUCGACUUCACAGACGCCCCCCGCCUCCGAUUCGGAAGACGCUUCUUGCUGGAGACUGUUUAAAAGACCUCAGAGGAGAAGUAUCAACUUAAAAAAUGAUGAAAACAAGUUCGAAAAUAAAUUCGGGUUCCGUCCUCCCGAGGAUGUUGAGAAAAACGGGUCUUACCAUCAGAUUUCUUCCUUAAAAAGAAACCAACAGAGCUUUUCGAUCGAGCACAACAAGCUGUUUAUGAACGGGCAGAGACAGCUCGUGCCAGUCGACCAUCACCAGAGGGUCAUCCGAAAAACCUGCCCCGGUUGCAGGUACUGCCAACUCCUUAAAGCAGAUCCAACCUUGAAGGAACAAAUCGACGCCUAUAAGAGAAAAUCAGCCAGGAGGAAAUUGAAAAGGAGUCAAUCGAAGGGAUGGUUCUCCAGUGUGUGUUCCAGUAACGAAAUCGAGAUGCAAGUGAGAAGAAAUCAAGUGCGUCCGAGCCGAAGCAUGCCAUCUUCAUUCAGCACCGGCAGCAUUAAUUCUGGCGGAGGCGGUGGUGGAGGUACGACUAUCGUCGUGAAACCCAGGCCUCAACGAAGCACCUCCUUGACCACUCUUCCAUCGUUGCCACCUCCGACGAGAAGACAGAUUCAAAGCGUGUCUCUCAAAGAAUUGAGCGAUGUUUUGGCAGCCGUACAAGGGCCGCGAGUGCAAAAAAGGGUGGUUGUACCCCACAGGAGACAUCUAAGGCGUAAAAGCAACCCUCUGUCGCCUACCUUGUCCCCCAUCCACGAAUCGGGCCUCAGCAAUCCUUCCACACCCCACAUGGCGCCCCGCCCCAAGCAAGGGAAUUGGGUGCCGCCUCCCAACUCACCCCUUGCCAUCAACCGCCAAAAUUAACAUCAACAAUCAACAAUCAACAAUUCACCAUCCACCUACUAUAUAAUAUAAAAGAUAUUUGAGAUGAGUGAAGGUGGUUUUGAACUAUGGGAGAGGCUUGGAUGUCCGAGACAUAUUGUCGCU
rnacentral:misc_RNA from 1 species